CUCAUUCAGUUCCAAUCUCAGAUCUCUCCAUCUCUAUUGCACCACGAUCUCUAGCAGCUCUCUCAAUCCUUGGUAUCUCAGUUAGCGAUAACUCGCUCUCUCUCUCAAAAACCUAGACCCAAAGCACACCGACCACUCAAAUCAGAAAUCCUUAUCUAUAGCAGAUCUCUCCUUACUACUCCUUUUGUCUCACAACUUCAAUUACCCGCUCCAACUUUUCUUCAACAUAUGCCCAGAAACCCUAAUCCCAAAACUCGCCCUAUUCGCUGUAGCAAAUUGAGAAUUCGUUUCAAAGCCGAAGGAUAUAAAUGGCUUGAUGACAUAAAGAAAAUGCAGUAGUAUGCGGUCCUUUCUUAGUCAAAUUGAGAGCUCCCUGCUAUAAUUUCUCUAGGCUUAACUUGAGGAAUCCCUCCCCUUGUCUCUUACUCAAGAUCAAAUAAUGCAUUUGUUUCAGGUAA